GAUGAAGAACGUAGCGAAAUGCGAUACUUGGUGUGAAUUGCAGGAUCCCGUGAACCACCGAGUCUUUGAACGCAAGUUGCGCCCGAAGCCGUUAGGCCGAGGGCACGCCUGCCUGGGUGUCACACAUCGUUGCCCCAAUGCCAAUCGCCUCACUUUGUAGGUAUUUGCUUGGGGUGAAUGUUGGCCUCCCGUGAGCUUUGUCUCACGGUUGGUUGAAAAUCGAGUGCAUGGUGUCGGGUGUACCAUGAUGGAUGGUGGUUGAGUGAUGAUGCUCGGGACCAAUCAUGGGUAACUCCACCAGAAUUGGGCUCGGUGACCCACAUGCGUCCCUUGGAUGCUCCCUAAGGAGACCUCAGGUCAGGCGGGGCUACCCGCUGAGUUUAAGCAUAUCAAUAAGCGGAGGA
rnacentral:misc_RNA from 1 species